CCUCCUAAAGAGUAACGGAGGAGCACGAAGGUUGGCUAAUCCUGGUCGGACAUCAGGAGGUUAGUGCAAUGGCAUAAGCCAGCUUGACUGCGAGCGUGACGGCGCGAGCAGGUGCGAAAGCAGGUCAUAGUGAUCCGGUGGUUCUGAAUGGAAGGGCCAUCGCUCAACGGAUAAAAGGUACUCCGGGGAUAACAGGCUGAUACCGCCCAAGAGUUCAUAUCGACGGCGGUGUUUGGCACCUCGAUGUCGGCUCAUCACAUCCUGGGGCUGAAGUAGGUCCCAAGGGUAUGGCUGUUCGCCAUUUAAAGUGGUACGCGAGCUGGGUUUAGAACGUCGUGAGACAGUUCGGUCCCUAUCUGCCGUGGGCGCUGGAGAACUGAGGGGGGCUGCUCCUAGUACGAGAGGACCGGAGUGGACGCAUCACUGGUGUUCGGGUUGUCAUGCCAAUGGCACUGCCCGGUAGCUAAAUGCGGAAGAGAUAAGUGCUGAAAGCAUCUAAGCACGAAACUUGCCCCGAGAUGAGUUCUCCCUGACCCUUUAAGGGUCCUGAAGGAACGUUGAAGACGACGACGUUGAUAGGCCGGGUGUGUAAGCGCAGCGAUGCGUUGAGCUAACCGGUACUAAUGAACCGUGAGGCUUAACCUUACAACGCCGAAGCUGUU
rnacentral:rRNA from 1 species